rnacentral:rRNA from 1 species
GGAACACGUGAGAAACCUGCCUUUCAUUCUGGGAUAACCCCGGGAAACCGGAGCUAAUACCAAAUAUGACCUUGAUAGGCAUCUAUCGAGGUGUAAAGGAUUCUGGUGAGGGAUGGGCCCGCGGCCUAUCAGUUAGUUGGUGAGGUAACGGCUCACCAAGGCGACGACGGGUAGCCGGCCUGAGAGGGCGAUCGGCCACACUGGGACUGAGACACGGCCCAGACUCC